rnacentral:rRNA from 1 species
GAUGAACGCUGGCGGCGUGCCUAAUACAUGCAAGUCGAGCGAACAGACGAGGAGCUUGCUCCUCUGACGUUAGCGGCGGACGGGUGAGUAACACGUGGAUAACCUACCUAUAAGACUGGGAUAACUUCGGGAAACCGGAGCUAAUACCGGAUAAUAUAUUGAACCGCAUGGUUCAAUAGUGAAAGACGGUUUUGCUGUCACUUAUAGAUGGAUCCGCGCCGCAUUAGCUAGUUGGUAAGGUAACGGCUUACCAAGGCAACGAUGCGUAGCCGACCUGAGAGGGUGAUCGGCCACACUGGAACUGAGACACGGUCCAGACUCCUACGGGAGGCAGCAGUAGGGAAUCUUCCGCAAUGGGCGAAAGCUUGACGGAGCAACGCCGCGUGAGUGAUGAAGGUCUUCGGAUCCUAAAACUCUGUUAUUAGGGAAGAACAAAUGUGUAAGUAACUAUGCACGUCUUGACGGUACCUAAUCAGAAAGCCACGGCUAACUACGUG